AAAGCGGGUGAAAAGCCCGCUCGCCGGAAGACCAAGGGUUCCUGUCCAACGUUAAUCGGGGCAGGGUGAGUCGACCCCUAAGGCGAGGCCGAAAGGCGUAGUCGAUGGGAAACGGGUUAAUAUUCCCGUACUUGGUGUUACUGCGAAGGGGGGACGGAGAAGGCUAUGUUGGCCGGGCGACGGUUGUCCCGGUUUAAGCGUGUAGGCUGGUUUUCCAGGCAAAUCCGGAAAAUCAAGGCUGAGGCGUGAYGACGAGGCACUACGGUGCUGAAGCAACAAAUGCCCUGCUUCCAGGAAAAGCCUCUAAGCAUCAGGUAACAYSAAAUCGUACCCCAAACCGACACAGGUGGUCAGGUAGAGAAUACCAAGGCGCUUGAGAGAACUCGGGUGAAGGAACUAGGCAAAAUGGUGCCGUAACUUCGGGAGAAGGCACGCUGACAUGUAGGUGAAGUGAUUUACUCAUGGAGCUGAAGUCAGUCGAAGAUACCAGCUGGCUGCAACUGUUUAUUAAAAACACAGCACUGUGCAAACACGAAAGUGGACGUAUACGGUGUGACGCCUGCCCGGUGCC
rnacentral:rRNA from 1 species